UUUUUUUUUUUUUUUUUUACUUUGAUUCUUUAUGAGACAUCAGGAAACUGUUCCUGAUAAUCCUGUGGUUCUUGAAAUGCUUCCCUAUAAGCCUAAAACAGAAGAUUCUGAGUGUGAAAUAAGAAAUAAAAAUAAAACAGUUCUUUCAGUAGGAGGGAGACUUGACCUUCUGUUGAGUUGGCAUUCUUUGGAACAGUAACCAAAGACCCGGCCAAGCAGAGUCACUGCAGUAAGACAGAGAGUGAGCAGAACAAGGGUUAUGGACAGAGAGCGAAAUGUUUGUGUUCAGGUUUCAGAUGGCAGCAAAGAUCAGGGUGGGCUGGGGGAGUGUGGCUGAAAUCGAGUCAGUGGAAGGCCAAGGAGCAGACAAAAGUCAAGGUCCUUUCUGUCAGGUUGUUGGGACAGCUCAUACCUGUGGCCACUCACAUGCCUUCUUACAGGGGCAAAGCAGGUCUUGGAGGAGAGAGAGGGAGAAAGUUUGAUAGAAGACAAAGCCAAAGGAGACAGAUUCAUAAAGGAAGGGUUUUAAUGAGAGGGAGGAGAGUCAUACUCUAGAAGUGCUCUGGAGAGUUCCUGACUCUGGUAAUGGUUGAGAAGCUCCUACUAGAUCAAGCAUCCUGAAAGUCACAGCUAUCAACUCAGAAAAUGUUCAAAAGAACAACCACUUGCUUCCUUGACAUCACUGGGGAGUGGAUCAAAGCAGGCAGAUACUGAAGGGGAUCAGAAGGGAAUUUCCUGUUAUGAAAGCUUUGGCCCUGAAGACAGGUGAGGACAGUGCCUUGAGGAGGACUGAAACUGAAGCAGGAGCUUGUAAGUUUUCUGAGUUGAAGAAUCAGAGGACAGAGUGCAGGGUGAUUACAGCAGCUGGUGGUAGAGGUUGUAGGAUCUCAGAAAGAGGAGAUCCAGAGUGGGGGAACCCCCAAAUCUCUAUCUAGACAUACCAUAUUUUGUUGUCCUUCACAGACAUUGAAUAUUUUCCAAACUGAAGUUUGUGGCAACCUUGUCUGGAGAUAGUCUCUUGGCACCAUUUUUCCGACAGCAUUUGCUCACUUUGUGAGAACACAAGUGUCUCUGUGUCAUAUUUUGGCAAUUCUCACAGUAUUUCAAGACUGUUUUUUAUUCUUAUAUUUGCUAUGUUGAUCUGUGAUUAGUUACCUACGAUAUUGCUAUUAUAGUUGUUUUUGGGUGCUGCAAACCAUGCCCAUAUAAGGUGGCAAACUUAAUCGGUAAAGAUUUUGUAGGUCCUGAGUAGUCCACUGUCAAGUCCAUCCCCAUCUAUCUCCCUCCUCUGAGCCUUCCUAUUCACUGAAAUAAAAUAUUGAAAUUAGGCUCCUAAUUUCAAUUAGGGGCACCUGGGUGGCUCAAGAGGUUGAGCAUCUGACUCUUGAUAUCAGCUCAGGUCUUGAUCUCAGGGUCAUGAGUUCAAGCCCCACAUUGGGCUUCCUGCUGGGUAUGGAGCCUACUUUAAAAAGAAAGAAAGACAGAGAGGGAAGGCAGGAGGGAGGGAAGGGAGGGAGGGAGGGAGGAGGGGGGAAGGGAGGAAGGAAGGAAGAAAGGAAGGAAGGAAGGAAGGAAGGAAGGAAGGAAGGAGAAGGAAGAAAGAAACUGGGUCAACUAAUAACCUUACAGUGGCCUCUAAGUGCUCAAGUAAAAGAAAGAGUUGCACAUUUCUCACUUUAAAUCAAGAAAUAAAAAAAAUCAAGAAAUAAUUAAGGGGAUGCCUGGGUGGCUCAGUUGGUAAACAUCUGCCUUUGGCUCAGGUCAUGAUCCUGGGGUCCUGGGAUCAAGCCCCACAUCGGACUCCCUGUUUGGCAGGGAGUCUGCUUGUCCCUCUCCUUCUGUUGCUUCUCCUGCUUGUGCUCUCUCUCUCUCUCUCUGUCAAAUAAAUAAAUAAAAUCUUUUAAAAAAAAAGAAAGAGUUAAGAAAUAAUUAAGCUUCAUGAGGAAGACAUGUCAAAAACCAACAUAGUCCAAAAGCUCAGCCUCUUGUGCCAGUUAGCCAAGUUGUGAAGAUAAAGUAAAAGUUUUGAAGGAAAUGAAAAGUGCUACUUCAGUGAACAUAUGAGUGAUAAGAAAGCAAACAGUUUUAUUGCUGAUCUGGAGGAAAUUUUAGUGGUCUGGAUAGAAGAUCAAAUCAGACACAACAGUCCCUUAAGCCAAAGCCUAAUCCAGGGCAAGGCCCUAACUUCCUUCAGUUCUUUGUAGGCUGAGAAAGGUGGGGAAGCUGCAGAAGAAAAGUGUGAAGCUAGCAGAGGUUGGUUCAUGAAGUUUAAGGACAGAAACCAUCAAUCUCAAUUUCCUGGUUUUGAUAAUUGUGCUAUGUUUAUAUUAGAUGUUCACAUCUAGAGAAGCUGGAUGUAAAUAUAGUAUUCAGAGUGAAAUUUAUACUUGUAAAAACAUAUGCUAGAAGAUAAGAACAACUGAAAACCAGUGAUGUAAGCUACUAUUACAAGAAGCUUGAGUAAAGAAUAACAAUUUGGCUAAAAUCAAUACAAGAAACAAGUGUUGGCGAGGAUGUGGGGAAAGCGGAACUCUCUUGCACUGUUGGUGGGAAUGCGCACUGGUGUAGCCACUGUGGAAGACAGUGUGGAGGAAAAUUAAAAAUAGAAUUACUAUAUGAUCCAUUAGUUCCUCUACUGGGUAUUUACCCAAAGAAUAUGAAAAUGCUCAUUUGAAAAGAUAUAUGUGGUACACCUGGCUGGCUCAGUCAGUAGAACAUAGGACUCUUAAUCUUGGGGAUAUGAGCUCGAGCCCCACAUUGAGUGUAGAAAUCAAUUAAAAAUAAUAAAAUAUUUUUUUAAAAAAGAAAAGAUGUAUGCAUCUCUAUGUUUAUUUACAGCAGACAAGAAAUGGAAACAACCAAAGUGCCACUGACAAAUAAAUGAAUAAAAAAGAUGUGGUAUAGGGAUCCCUGGGUGGCACAGUGAUUUGGUGCCUGCCUUUGGCCCAGGGCGUGAUCCCGGAGACCCGGGAUCGAAUCCCACGUCGGGCUCCCGGUGCAUGGAGCCUGCUUCUCCCUCUGCCUAUGUCUCUGCCCCUCUCUCUCUUUGUGUGACUACCAUAAAAAAAAAAAAAGAUGUGGUAUAAAUAUAUAUACACCACACAUAUUUAAAUAUAUGUGUGGUACAUAUAUAUUUGGUAUAUAUGUAUAUAUAGGUACUAAUAAAUAUAAAUAUAUAUUUAAAUAUAUGUAGUAUAUACAUACACCACAUAUAUAAAUAUAUAUUUAUAUUGGAAUGUGUGUGUGUGUGUAUAUAUAUAUAUAUAUAUAUCCCAUAUCUUGGCUGCUGUAAAUUUUAUAUGUAUAUGUAUGUUGGAAUAUUACUUAGCUGUAAAAAAAAUGAAAUCUUGCUAUUUGCAACAACAUGAAUGGAUCUAGAGGGUAUAAUGCUAAGUGAAAUAAGUCAGUCAGAAAGUUAGAGAAAGGCAAAUACCAUAUGAUUUCACUCAUAUGUGGAAUUUAAGAAACAAAUCAACAAAGAAAAAAAAGAGCCAACCAAAAAAACAGACUCUUAAGUAUAGAGAACACACUGGUGGUUAGCAGAGGGAUGGAAGGUGGGGGGAUGGGGAAAACAGGUGAAGGAGAUCAAGAGUACACUUACUAUGAUGAACACUGAGUAAUGUACAGAAUUGUUGCAUCACUAUAUUGUACACCUGAAACUAAUAUAACACUGUAUAUUAACUAUACUGGAAUUUUAAAAUAAAUUUUAAAAUAAAUAAGAAUAACAAUUUGUCCAAACAUUUAAGAAAUAUAUAAUAACAAUUUUUGGAGAAAAAUACUCUUACAGAAAAUACAAAAGGAGGUAAUACUUCUCAAGUUAUUGACAAAAGCUUGACAAAGGCUUACAAGAAAGGGAAAUUUCAAGUGAAUAUCAGUCAUGAUAACAGACACAAAAAAACCUAAACAAUAUAUUAAAUCUAAUACUGCAAUAUAUAAAUGGAAUAUUUCAAAGACAAAUGGGUUUACUGCAGGAAUAAAUGCCACUUUACACCAACAGAGGAGCUAAACUAGAAUGAGCAGGCAAGUCCAAGAUUUGCCAUUGAUGUGGAGAAAUAAGAAGAUUCAUACCUUGCUGUUGGGGAUGUAUAGUCAUACAAUCCUUUAGGAAACUGGCCGUUUACUAAAACUAAACAUAUGCUUAACCAGCGUGGAAGCAAAGCCUUGGUAUAAACCCAGGAGUGAUGCGUGCACAUGUCCCACAAAAGAUAAGUACUAGGAUGUUCACGGCAGAGUUGUUCAAAAUGGCCAAACAUUGGAAACAACCCAAAUGUCCAUCAAUUGUAGAGUAGAUAAGAAAUAAUAGCCUAUUCAUACAAUGAUAUUCUGCAUAGCAAUUUUAAAAAGUACCCACUACAAUGUGCUGGUACCUGCAACAAUGUGAAUUAUUAUCAUAGAUAUGUUAAGUGAAAAAAGCAAACAUACAAAAAUGAAAACAUACUCACUCUGUGAUUCCAUUUAUGUGAAUUUCAAAAAUAAUGGGCAAAACAAAUUUGUGAAGGUCAGGACAGUAGUUGCUUUGGGGGUGAAAAUGACUGGAUGGGACACAGAAGAAUCUUUCAAAGUAUUAGAAACAUUCUGAGUAGUAUCCACAUGGUCUAUACAAGUGUAGAAAUUCUUCAAGCCCAUUCAUUCAAUAUCCAUGCCCAUUACUGCAUGUAAUUUAUAGUUAUCAAAGAAAAAAGCAAAAAAAUUGAGCAGAAAAUAGCAAAAUAUAUACAAGAAUAAUAGUUUAUUUAAAGUAGCUUCCUUUAGGGUCACCUAACUGGCUCAGUCAGUAGAGCAUGCGACUUUUGAUCUCAGAUCGUGAGUUGGGCAUGGAGCCUACCUAAAAUAAAUAAAUAUUUUUUUAAAGUAGUUUCCUUUAGGGAUGCCUGGAUGACACAGCGGUUAAACAUCUGCCUUCAGCUCAGGGCGUGAUCUUGUUGGGGGGUCCUGGUAUCAAGUCCUGCAUUGGGCUCCCCAUGAGCCUGCCCCCCCCCCCCCGCCUACAUCUCUGCCUCUCUCUGUGCAUCUCUCAUGAAUAAAUAAAUAAAAUCUUUCUCUUUUAAAGUAGUUUCCUUUGGCUGAGGGGUGUCAAGGGUAGGAGGAUAGGUUGGAGCAAGGUAAUUUCACUUUAUAUCCAUUUUGAAUUUGAAAUCAAGUGAGUUACUUGUUCAAAAGAAUAAGUUAGGGAUCCCUGGGUGGCCCAGCAGUUUAGCGCCUGCCUUUGGCCCAGGGUGCGAUCCUGGAGUCCCAGGAUCGAGUCCUGCGUCAGGCUCCCGGCAUGGAGCCUGCUUCUCCCUCCUCCUGUGUCUCUGCCUUUCUCUCUCUCUCUCUCUCUCUCUCCCUCUCUCUCUCUAU
rnacentral:lncRNA from 1 species